rnacentral:rRNA from 1 species
UACGGAGGUUGCAAGCGUUAUCCGGAUUCACUGGGUUUAAAGGGUGCGUAGGCGGGCAUUUAAGUCAGUGGUGAAAUACCUGAGCUUAACUUGGGAACUGCCAUUGAUACUAUUUGUCUUGAAUGUCGUGGAGGUUAGCGGAAUAUGUCAUGUAGCGGUGAAAUGCUUAGAUAUGACAUAGAACACCUAUUGCGAAGGCAGCUAACUACGCGAAUAUUGACGCUGAGGCACGAAAGCGUGGGGAUCAAACAGG